rnacentral:lncRNA from 1 species
AUCCAGGAUGGCUACUCUGAUCUUUGUUGAUAAGGAUAACGAAGAGCCAGGCAGCCGUUUGGCAUCUAAGGAUGGAUUGAAGCUGGGCUCUGGUGUCAAAGCCUUAGAUGGGAAAUUGCAGGUUUCAACGCCACGAGUCGGCAAAGUGUUCGGUGCCCCAGGCUUGCCUAAAGCCAGCAGGAAGGCUCUGGGAACUGUCAACAGAGUUACUGAAAAGCCAGUGAAGAGUAGUAAACCCCUGCAAUCGAAACAGCCGACUCUGAGUGUGAAAAAGCUGGGGACCGAACCCAGGGCCUUGCGCUUCCUAGAUCACCGAGAAGUCUACUAAGACACAAGGCUCUGCUCCUGCUCCUGAUGAUGCCUACCCAGAAAUAGAAAAGUUCUUCCCCUUCGAUCCUCUAGAUUUUGAGAGUUUUGACCUGCCUGAAGAGCACCAGAUCUCACUUCUCCCCUUGAAUGGAGUGCCUCUCAUGAUCCUGAAUGAAGAGAGGGGGCUUGAGAAGCUGCUGCACCUGGACCCCCCUUCCCCUCUGCAGAAGCCCUUCCUACCGUGGGAAUCUGAUCCGUUGCCGUCUCCUCCCAGCGCCCUCUCCGCUCUGGAUGUUGAAUUGCCGCCUGUUUGUUACGAUGCAGAUAUUUAAACGUCUUACUCCUUUAUAGUUUAUGUAAGUUGUAUUAAUAAAGCAUUUGUGUGUAUGCUCUGACUACCUAACCC